AGUCAAGUAAUUAAGUGCAUGUGGUGGAUGCCUUGGCAGUCAGAGGCGAUGAAAGACGUGAUAGCCUGCGAAAAGCUCCGGGGAGGCGGCAAAUAUCCUUUGAUCCGGAGAUGUCUGAAUGGGGGAACCCACCUACUUUAAGGUAGGUAUUGCAACAUGAAUACAUAGUGUUGCAAGGCGAACGAGGGGAAGUGAAACAUCUCAGUACCCUUAGGAAAAGAAAUCAAUUGAGAUUCCCUCAGUAGCGGCGAGCGAACGGGGAUCAGCCCAUUAAGUUAUGUGUGUUUUAGUGGAACGCUCUGGGAAGUGCGAACGUAGAGGGUGAUAUUCCCGUACACGAAAGGGCACACAUAAUGAUGACGAGUAGGGCGAGGCACGUGAAACCUUGUCUGAAUAUGGGGGGACCAUCCUCCAAGGCUAAAUACUCCUGACUGACCGAUAGUGAACCAGUACCGUGAGGGAAAGGCGAAAAGAACCCCUGUGAGGGGAGUGAAAUAGAUCCUGAAACCGCAUGCAUACAAGCAGUGGGAGCACCUUCGUGGUGUGACUGCGUACCUUUUGUAUAAUGGGUCAGCGACUUAUAUUCAGUAGCGAGGUUAACCGUAUGGGGAGCCGUAGAGAAAUCGAGUCUUAAUAGGGCGUUUAGUUGCUGGGUAUAGACCCGAAACCAGGCGAUCUAUCCAUGAGCAGGUUGAAGGUUGGGUAACACUAACUGGAGGACCGAACCCACUGUCGUUGAAAAGCCAGGGGAUGACUUGUGGAUAGGGGUGAAAGGCUAAUCAAGCCUGGUGAUAGCUGGUUCUCCCGUUAGCUAUUUAGGUAGCGCCUCGGUCGAAUACCAUAGGUGGUAGAGCACUGUUUCGGCUAGGGGUCAUCCCGACUUACCAAACCGAUGCAAACUCCGAAUACCUAUGAGUACUAUCCGGGAGACAGACUGCGGGUGCUAACGUCCGUAGUCAAGAGGAAAACAAUCCAGACCGCCAGCUAAGGCCCCAAAAUCAUAGUUAAGUGGGAAACGAUGUGGGAAGGCAUAGACAGCUAGGAGGUUGGCUUAGAAGCAGCCACCCUUUAAAGAAAGCGUAAUAGCUCACUAGUCGAGUCGGCCUGCGCGGAAGAUGUAACGGGGCUAAAACUAUGUGCCGAAGCUGCGGAUGUAUACUUUGUAUACGUGGUAGGGGAGCGUUCUGUAAGCCGAUGAAGGUGUGUUGAGAAGCAUGCUGGAGGUAUCAGAAGUGCGAAUGCUGACGUGAGUAACGACAAAACGGGUGAAAAACCCGUUCGCCGAAAGACCAAGGGUUCCAGUCCAACGUUAAUCGGGGCUGGGUGAGUCGACCCCUAAGGCGAGGCCGAAAGGCGUAGUCGAUGGGAAAAUGGUUAAUAUUCCAUUACUUCUGUGUAAUGCGAUGAGAGGACGGAGAAGGCUAAAUCAGCCUGGCGUUGGUUGUCCAGGUGAAAGGAUGUAGGCAUGUAUCUUAGGCAAAUCCGGGGUACUCUAUGCUGAGAUCUGAUAGCAAGCUGUACUUGUACAGCGAAGUGGUUGAUGCCAUGCUUCCAGGAAAAGUCUCUAAGCUUCAGUUACACAGGAAUCGUACCCGAAACCGACACAGGUGGUCAGGUCGAGUAGACCAAGGCGCUUGAGAGAACUCUGCUGAAGGAACUAGGCAAAAUGGUACCGUAACUUCGGGAGAAGGUACGCUGUUGUUGGUGAUGGAACUCGCUUCCUGAGCUGACGACAGCCGCAGAAACCAGGCCGCUGCAACUGUUUAUUAAAAACAUAGCACUCUGCAAACACGAAAGUGGACGUAUAGGGUGUGAUGCCUGCCCGGUGCUGGAAGGUUAAUUGAUGGGGUUAGCGUAAGCGAAGCUCUUGAUCGAAGCCCCAGUAAACGGCGGCCGUAACUAUAACGGUCCUAAGGUAGCGAAAUUCCUUGUCGGGUAAGUUCCGACCUGCACGAAUGGCAUAAUGAUGGCGGCGCUGUCUCCAGCAGAGGCUCAGUGAAAUCGAAAUCGCUGUGAAGAUGCAGUGUACCCGCGGCUAGACGGAAAGACCACCGUGAACCUUUACUGCAGCUUGACACUGAACUUUGACCUUACUUGUGUAGGAUAGGUGGGAGGCUUUGAAGCUGGAACGCUAGUUCCAGUGGAGCCGUCCUUGAAAUACCACCCUGGUAAUGUUGAGGUUCUAACUCUGUCCCGUGAUCCGGGACGAGGACCGUGUCUGGUGGGUAGUUUGACUGGGGCGGUCUCCUCCUAAAGAGUAACGGAGGAGUACGAAGGUGCGCUCAGCGUGGUCGGAAAUCACGCGUAGAGUAUAAAGGCAAAAGCGCGCUUAACUGCGAGACCCACAAGUCGAGCAGGUACGAAAGUAGGUCUUAGUGAUCCGGUGGUUCUGUAUGGAAGGGCCAUCGCUCAACGGAUAAAAGGUACUCUGGGGAUAACAGGCUGAUACCGCCCAAGAGUUCAUAUCGACGGCGGUGUUUGGCACCUCGAUGUCGGCUCAUCUCAUCCUGGGGCUGAAGCAGGUCCCAAGGGUAUGGCUGUUCGCCAUUUAAAGAGGUACGCGAGCUGGGUUUAGAACGUCGUGAGACAGUUCGGUCCCUAUCUACCGUGGGCGCUGGAAAUUUGAGAGGAUCUGCUCCUAGUACGAGAGGACCAGAGUGGACGAACCUCUGGUGUACCGGUUGUGACGCCAGUCGCAUCGCCGGGUAGCUAUGUUCGGAAGGGAUAACCGCUGAAAGCAUCUAAGCGGGAAGCCUACCUCAAGAUAAGAUUUCCCUAGGACUUUAUGUCCUCUAAAGAGCCGUUCGAGACUAGGACGUUGAUAGGUUGGAUGUGGAAGCAUAGUGAUAUGUGAAGCUGACCAAUACUAAUUGCUCGUGAGGCUUGACUAU
rnacentral:rRNA from 1 species